CGACGUAAAGAACUUGCCUCACAGCUAGGGACAACAUUUAGAAAUGAAUGCCAAUACCUGAUAUUAUGAUUUUAAGGCAUCUUAGAAUUAUGAAAGCUAUAAGCACUGUGAGAGAGCUUUGCGUCCCAUUAGCUAGUUGGAGAGGUAACAGCUCACCAAGGCGAUGAUGGGUAGCCGGCCUGAGAGGGUGAACGGCCACAAGGGAACUGAGACACGGCCCUU
rnacentral:rRNA from 1 species